CAAGCUAAUGGACGUUUCUAAGCAAUUGCUUGAAGUUAAAAUUUUUCUAUGAACAGCGUUCCAAAGCUUGGCUGCAUUAAACAAAAAGGUGUUUGAUUUAUUUAGGAGAAUAACCAUUAGACUCGUUGCACGGUUUGAAAUGUUGAUAGCCUCAUAAAGGGAGUAUGGGCAGUGGUACUUGAUAAUCUUAGAGAAUUCUAAAAUACAGUGAUAUUUGUACAAGUUUUGAGCCGUAAGAAUUUUUAAUCUAUUAAAAAUGGGUUUUGUAUGCUCCUUUUCAAAGUGUUUAUGCAUUAUAUAUUUUCAAAUAUAGUUCAGAAGGUAUCGAGUGCCGAAUUCUGCAGAUUGCACCAGUCAUAGAUCUCAGUUUUUUACGGAUGUAGUGCAUGUGGGCAAUCCAGUUUAGCUUACUAUCUAUAACAACACCUAAGAAUUUGGUAUCCUUGACUUUAGUAAUAACCUUACCAUUGAUGAAUAUUGAUCUAGAUUCAUCUAGCAGGAUAGCAAAUGGUCUGGUCCGUGCACAGGUGUCAUCAUAUUCAGA